ensembl:antisense 4930542C12Rik RIKEN cDNA 4930542C12 gene
ACGCAGCGAGCCUGGGCGCCGCCGGCGCUCACCUAUCACCGCGCCCACCACAUCGUUCUUCACCCCGAAGCAGAGCGGCGGUUCGCGGCGGCCCGCGGCCGUAGCCUCGGCGGCCCCGGCGGGCUCUCUCCAGCCGCCGCCCGCACCCCUGCUACCGACCCGGCCUCUCCGGUUCGUCUCCUCCGUUGCCGUCCGGUCGGCGCCCCGGGACCGGGUCGAGCUUCGCCGGGGAGCAACGCCCGAGGAGGAAGCGUUGGCUGCGGGUUCCCGCCUAGACAUGGCUCUGAGGAGAGCCGCGCGUCGCACGUCGUUCCAGACUCAGCUGCCCAGGCCGCGGCGUCGGAAAAACUCCGCUGCCGCCCGCGAGCUCGCCCGCCAGUCCUCUGCGCGCUCAUUGGCCGCCGCGCCUCAGGGGCGGGGCCUGGCUGGCCUGACCAAUCGGCGCUUGCAGCCGAGCGGCCACCUGGACCCCUAUUUGCCCGGCUAGUGUCUGGCUGGGAACAUCAGCUUGAGGACAGCGCGUCUCGGUGCCACGGAAACGAUCCCAACCGUGCCUCGAAAUUCAGGUUCAUGACGGGCUAAUGUGCAGGCUUGAGAUCUGGGGCAGGAGGGUCUGCGUGACAAUUACUUUAAGAUUCUAUCUUGAAAUAACUCGAUGAAAGCGCUUGCCGAAGCGCAGGAUACUCUAUCUACACUCCCCAAUACCUAAAGUUAAAAAAAAAAAAAUAGCACUGCCUGAAGCACACCCAGCUUUGCAAGGAUUUUGGAGCUGGACACACUCCUCCAGGCUUGGCCUAAGCUCCAGAUCCUUUGCUGGGAUUGGGAUCCUCGAAUUGUCAGACUAGAUCACAGGUCAACCAUCCAUCAAACAGAGGACACUCAGAAUCUUAGCACUGAAUGUCUUGUAGGAGACACUGAGGAAAAACUGAAAGGUUGGGUCUAUCCUGGGUUAAAUAAAUUACAUCAAAUUAUAUUAUAUAAUACUAUGUAUACUAAUAUCUUUGAAGGUAGCCUUAAUUCUCCUGCCUGGGAGUGGGCACUCAAGUGCUGGUCUUAUAGAUGAAUUUCAUGACACACAGAUGUAGCAACAGUAUCUCUUGAUACAAUACUCUCUGGGGGAAUGUGAAUAAAGCACCAAACUAUCAAAGCAUCUUGGACUUACACAGAAACAUCGAGCAAAAUAAAAAAUAAGCCAAUCAC